UCCCUGGAGGACUAUUGGUUAGUCCUCGGCGCUCUCACUGCCGUGGCUCAGGUUCGAUUCCCAGCCAAGGGAA
rnacentral:tRNA from 1 species